rnacentral:rRNA from 1 species
GACAGAGGGUGCAAACGUUGCUCGGAAUUACUGGGCGUAAAGCGCGUGUAGGUGGCCACGCAAGUCAGGUGUGAAAGCCCAGGGCUCAACCCUGGAAGUGCACAUGAUACUACGUGGCUGGAGUACUGAAGAGGAGAGCGGAAUUCCCGGUGUAGCGGUGAAAUGCGUAGAUAUCGGAAGGAACAUCAGUGGCGAAAGCGACUUCCUGGACCAGUACCGACGUUCAGGCACGAAAGCGUGGGGAGCAAACAGG